rnacentral:misc_RNA from 1 species
GUUUGGAUUGGGACUUCCAUAAUGGAAGUCUCAAAUUCGAAACCCCUUUCCUGAGACAGCAGGGGGUUGUUCUUCUUGGUCGAGCUUGUCGCACGGGGCUUGCUUAGUGCGUGCUUAGUGCGGUUCACCUCUCCUAUGUGGUUCUGUGCUCACCCAAAAGGUAGCGGCUGCGGGGUCCCUUGUCAACAACGCCAAAGAAAAGAAGAGAGGUGGUUUUUACUACACAUGAUACUUUAGAGUUGUAAAUAUGCUGUGUACUUCAAAUUUAUUGUUUUAAGCUAUUCUUUCUGGAUAAGCUUGCUGGUGUGGAUCCAUAAGAAAGA